AGGCCAAGCAUUUAUUCAUACUCUAUCCGGAGCUAUUGAGAAAGCCUUGAGGCAUAAGAGCCUUUCUACAUCAAAAAGGCAACAUGUGCAUGGUUGCAGCCUUGUUCGAGGAAAGAAAUUAUAUGGGUAUUAUUCAUCAGAGGAGCUGUUUGUGAAGAUCUUUUUAUAUUGUCCUCAUGAUGUUUCUCGUUUGGCUAGUCUUCUUCUGGUAU